rnacentral:rRNA from 1 species
UACAGGGGUGCAAACGUUGCUCGGAAUUAUUGGGCGUAAAGCGCGCGUAGGCGGUCUGUCGCGUCUGCUGUGAAAACUCAGGCUUAACCCUGAGCUUGCAGUGGGUACGGGCAGACUAGAGUGCGGUAGGGGAGACUGGAAUUCCGUGGUGUAGCGGUGAAAUGCGCAGAUAUCAGGAGGAACACCGGUGGCGAAGGCGGGUCUCUGGGCCGAUACUGACGCUGAGGAGCGAAAGCGUGGGGAGCAAACAGG